AUGGAAGCAGAUGUGUUGAGUGACAUGUGCCAUACUGCAUUUCCCCUCACUGAUCCACUGUUCAUGAAAAAAAUCCAGUUUUCUUUCAGCAUUGUAAUGAUGGAAGCCAUAAAGAAGCUUCAUGGCCAUCUCAUUGUUUCUGGUCUGUACAAUUGCCAAUAUGCAAUGUCUAAGAUUCUCAGAUUCUAUGCUAUUCUACAACCAGAUUUGGCUCUUGCUCAUAAAGUAUAUGGGCAGAUUGAAGCACCAACAACUUACCUUCGGAAUAUCAUACUCAGGGGGCUUGCUCAAAGCGAUGCACCAGAAGAUGCAAUUGCUUUCUACAAGAAGGCUCGAGGAGAAGGUAUGGAGCCGGACAACCUGACGUUCCCAUUUGUAGUGAAGGCUUGUGCAAGGAUUAGUGCUCUUAAGGAAGGGAAACAGAUGCACAACCAUGUACUGAAAUUCGGGCUUCUUUCGGAUAUCUUCGUUUCCAAUUCGCUGAUUCAUCUAUAUGCUGCCUGUGGUGAUUUGUGCUGCGCAAGAUCUGUUUUCCAUGAGAUGCUGGUUAAGGAUGUGGUGUCCUGGAACUCUUUGAUAUGUGGAUACAGCCAGUGCAAUAGAUUACAAGAGGUCUUGAAGUUAUUCAGGUUGAUGCACGGCGAAGGAGUGAGAGCUGAUAAGGUCACUAUGGUCAAGGUUGUUUCUGCGUGCACUCGUCUAGGAGAUUGGAGCAUGGCAGAUUGCUUGGUCAAGUACAUAGAGGAUUACUGCAUAGAGGUGGAUAUCUACUUGGGCAAUACUUUGAUAGAUUACUAUGGCAGACGUGGGCAGCUGCAAUCGGCUGAAAAGGUUUUCUUCAACAUGAAGGAUAGGAACACCGUGACAAUGAACGCAAUGAUCACCGCAUAUUCGAAAGCGGGGGAUCUGGUCUCCGCAAGAAGGUUAUUCGAGGAAAUUCCUAGCAAAGAUCUGAUCUCAUGGAGCUCUAUGAUAUCCGGCUAUUCACAAGCCAGUCAGUUCUCUGACGCCUUGGAACUCUUCAGGCAGAUGCAGAGAGCCAAGGUGAAACCGGACGCGGUCGUGCUCGCGAGUGUACUCUCUGCCUGCGCGCACCUAGGCGCUCUCGAUCUCGGCAAGUGGAUCCACGACUACGUGAGGCGACACGGCAUCGAAGCCGACACCAUCCUGCACAAUUCUCUGAUCGACAUGUACGCGAAAUGCGGAAGCACCAAGGAGGCGCUGCAGGUCUUCAGAGAAACGAAAGAGAAGGACACCCUGUCAUGGAACUCGAUCAUAAUGGGGCUGGCGAACAACGGCUCCGAACACGAAGCCCUGGGCGCCUUCCGCGCCAUGCUCGCCGAAGGGUUCAGGCCGAACGAGGUCACCUUCCUCGGUGUGCUGAUCGCGUGCGCCAACGCGGAGCUCGUCGAGGAGGGGCUCGGCCACUUCGAGAGCAUGAGGUCGGUCCACGGCGUGGAGCCGCAGAUGAAGCACUACGGCGUCGUCGUCGACCUCCUGGGGCGCGCCGGUCGGCUGACGAAAGCGCUGGGGUUCAUCGCCGAGAUGCCCGUCGCUCCUGAGCCCGUCGUCUACAGGAUACUGCUGGGGGCGGCCAGAACGCACGGUGAUUUGGGCGUCGCCGAGGUGGCCGCCGAGAGGCUCAGGGAGCUGGACGGCGGGAACGGCGGGGACUACACGCUGAUGAGCAAUGCGUAUGCGGGGGCUGAUAGAUGGAGCGACGCCAUGGAGGUCAGGCAGCGGAUGGAGGAUAGGCGUGUGAGGAAAUUGCCCGCUUGCAGUGUCGUCGACUGCUGA
rnacentral:rRNA from 1 species